GCGGACGGGUGAGUAACACGUGGGUAACCUGCCUGUAAGACUGGGAUAACUCCGGGAAACCGGGGCUAAUACCGGAUGGUUGUUUGAACCGCAUGGUUCAAACAUAAAAGGUGGCUUCGGCUACCACUUACAGAUGGACCCGCGGCGCAUUAGCUAGUUGGUGAGGUAACGGCUCACCAAGGCGACGAUGCGUAGCCGACCUGAGAGGGUGAUCGGCCACACUGGGACUGAGACACGGCCCAGACUCCUACGGGAGGCAGCAGUAGGGAAUCUUCCGCAAUGGACGAAAGUCUGACGGAGCAACGCCGCGUGAGUGAUGAAGGUUUUCGGAUCGUAAAGCUCUGUUGUUAGGGAAGAACAAGUACCGUUCGAAUAGGGCGGUACCUUGACGGUACCUAACCAGAAAGCCACGGCUAACUACGUGCCAGCAGCCGCGGUAAUACGUAGGUGGCAAGCGUUGUCCGGAAUUAUUGGGCGUAAAGGGCUCGCAGGCGGUUUCUUAAGUCUGAUGUGAAAGCCCCCGGCUCAACCGGGGAGGGUCAUUGGAAACUGGGGAACUUGAGUGCAGAAGAGGAGAGUGGAAUUCCACGUGUAGCGGUGAAAUGCGUAGAGAUGUGGAGGAACACCAGUGGCGAAGGCGACUCUCUGGUCUGUAACUGACGCUGAGGAGCGAAAGCGUGGGGAGCGAACAGGAUUAGAUA
rnacentral:rRNA from 1 species